rnacentral:rRNA from 1 species
UACAGAGGUCUCAAGCGUUGUUCGGAUUCAUUGGGCGUAAAGGGUGCGUAGGUGGCGCCAUAAGUCGGGUGUGAAAUCUCGGGGCUUAACUCCGAAACUGCAUUCGAUACUGUGGUGCUCGAGGACUGGAGAGGAGACUGGAAUUCAUGGUGUAGCAGUGAAAUGCGUAGAGAUCAUGAGGAAGACCAGUGGCGAAGGCGGGUCCCUGGACACUUCCUGACACUGAGGCACGAAAGCUAGGGGAGCAAACAGG